rnacentral:tRNA from 1 species
AGGAGGGCCCCAAGGCAACAAGUACUGCUAAUACUUGGACCCACGGUUAAACUCCGUGGCUUCCUCG